rnacentral:lncRNA from 1 species
GACUUGGACAUCAUUGACACCGGGUUGUGGAGAGCAUCGUGACUUGCCUUUGCAAGAGAUUCGCUCUCCUAAUCUUGUUUUGCCCAGGAUGCCACUUGAGUUUGCAUUUCCCGCACACACACAGCCCUUCUCUUAAUACAGUGUGGGUGAGCUGCAGAUAAGCAAUGUGUAAGGAGACACCGUUGGGACUAAACACUUUCCAGAAUAAUCUACCAUAGGAAAUUAAAGGAGGAACUUAUUCCACUGCUACCCUUAUUUUGCAGGAUGGGAAUCUGGGGUACAAUAUAAUUUUAUGCCCAUUCCAGUUCAAAGCUCUUCCUCAGAGUUUUUUUUUUUUCCAAAGGAAAACUGGAAACCAUGUUUUUCUUGGUCUGUAUGUCCUCAAAGGACCGACAUAACUGACACAGCAUGAGGGGCAGCUGCCAAAGGCACAGUAUUGGCACCAGUGGAGGAUGUCCAGGUUCUUGGCAUCUUGAACAAAGAAUAGGACAAAAUGUGCAAACAAAGCAAGGAAGGAAUGAAUGGAUUUAUUGAAAAUGAAAGUACACGCCACAGUGUUGGAGCAGUCCUGAGCAUAGGGGCUCAAAGGCCCGUUCCAGAAUUUUGGGGAGUUUAAAUACUGGCUUUUAAAAUGAAUAUUCCCUGGCCCUUCAGUCGCUCUAUAGGUCAAGAAUCUGAAUUCUCAACCUGUCUAGAAGGUUCUGGUUUUAAUGGUCUGUGGGCUGCACAUUGAGAAACCUGUUCAGCGAGUGCAACAAAGGUUCCACAUGUGAGAAAGGAAGCAUCAGGUCUCUUGAGCCUGUUCUUUAAUCUGUAGGCUGCACCUUCUCUUUAAAUUCUGCUAAUAACACCAUGCGAGAAAACACCCGAGCUUGAAAAGCCCAUGUUCCAACAUAACUGUCCUUCACCACUCUGGAAAAUUAAUGGUUUGUUUCGAUUAUCCCUUUGUUAAACUCCAAAGUCAAAGAGCUCUGAAAGGCAUACGGUUAUUUUAAGUUUCAGGUGAUUUCUGUUGCCAAAUAUUUUAAAAAUUUAAAAUUGCUACGUGACCUCUUAGUAGUACUAUUAGAUUUCCUGACAAUAAAAAUAAGUCUUUUGGUUUCACCAUUUAUAGUUAGUACAGCUAAUAUUAAGUAUAAUUUUAAAAGCCUUUUAUUUUCUCAGAAAGAAAAAAUAAUCAAAAUCUGCUCAGUGUGGUAUUGAAUAAUUAAAAACAAAAGAACAGUAUCUUCACAUUAGUGUUUAAUAUUAAUUGCUUUUUUACCCUUGACACUGGUGCUAAUUAAAUUUUCAUUUUAUUUUCCAUGACUUGUUUAAACAGUUUUUGCAAAUUAUUGCUAAUCAGC